GAUAAAAAUCUGGUACCCCUUUAAAAGUGGGUUUUGCCCAUCUCUAUUUAAGAGGUCAUUUAAGUGAUUAUUUUAGUACUGCAUUACCUUGUGUUACAGAACAGGGAAGGUCUACUCUCUUCUGGUUUCUGCCUUCCAUUCCUGCGGGUCAGUUCUUGCCUUCCAGUGAGCCCACUGGCCAUGGCAGAAGAUAACUCGGUCCCAGGCAGAACAAGUUUCCUUUUCCUAUUGGCCUUGCUUGACUUUUUCCAGUGUUUACUCAAGGUCCAGCAGGUGCAAGACCCAUUAAAGUGAGGAACAACACAGGGCAGUGUUUUAGAUCCAAUAACCACAGUGCCUGGGAAGGGUCAGUCUGAAAGCUUUACCAGAAUUUCAUCUGAGCUGGAGAAUGUGGAAUUCAAAGGGAGAACAGUUACUUGAUUAUAGUAAGGAUUAUUAGAAGCGAAAUAAGAGAAUUUCCACUAGACCAAAGACUGCUUUUAAUCAAAUUGGUUUUGAAUAAGAGGAGUGAAAAAUAAAUCAUAAACCAAAAAAUGUGAAUGUGAUUGUUGUGUAAGUACCACAAAUAACCUUCAGUCUUUGGAAGCUGCCAAGUUUCCUUAAGAUUCAAGUAUUUACAGCUUAUGGGAAGGAAAUAAGAUUUUCUAUUUAUUUUUUUAUCCUUUGCACUGUAAGCCAGAUUUUCUUCUCAUUUAUGCAGGUGGAGGUCAAAUACAGUCACAGAAAUUGUAUUUCAUUUAGAAGUGUGUAAUAAAAUAGUCGUUUUAAAUAUACUUGAUAUUAAAUGAAAUCUUUUUCCAUACCCAGUCCUCUUGCAUUAGAUCACACUCUCCUCUUUACAGUGAAAUCGUUUCUGGACAGCACAUAGAUGCAUUGGAAAUAUCUAAUAUAUUCUGCACUAAUUUAUUUGGCCAGUGAUCUCAUCUAUUUCCCAAAACACUUUAACGGAUGCAAUUUGACCUAAAGUUUGAUUGUGAUCGAGUGACUUAAAGUGAUCACAUUCAAAAUGGCCAAAUGUUUGUGCAAAGAGCAUGCAGCCUGUCAGCUAAACUGAUCCAUCCUUGAGAUCUUGCAUGUCAAAGUCAAUCUCAGAGCAAAUAUUUGUGUGUCCUUCAUCACUUUAAACCACUGAGAAUGUACUUUAUCCAAAGGAGAGGCAGACAAUAAUGUAAGGAAUGGAAUUUGGCUCCCUGCAAGGGUCUGGGGAACUGGAGACCUGGGUGCUUCACGGUGAGUUGUUGGCUUUGAAUGUUUUAAGUGUCUUAGUCAUUUGAGACGUUUUUUAUCUUCCUUGCUCCUUUAAUUUCCUUUGGUUUCCCUUUCUUUCUCUUACAUAAAUGCAAAGGAAAAGGAUCACAUAGGGCCAGAGCUCAGAUAUUCCAUGAGGCAAGUUGUAUUAAUGGGAGAAAUGGAAGAGCUGUGUGCCUUGUUCAUCAGCUUCAUAAAGAAUUGAGAAUUAAAUCACACUUUUUUUUUCAGUAGCCAAACCUGAAAUGAUAGAUUUCCAUCAGGCUUGUUUACGGGUACACAGCCCACAAGGUAUGGAGGUCAUAUUGCAAACAGACUUUGCUUUGAAACAGAUGCUUAUUGCAGACUCUCUGCCUCUUUACAGUGGAGAGAUGGGAAAACAGCUCCUGAAUUGAAGAAUGUCUUGUAUUUCGUGUAAACCUACCCUGCAGAGAGGCUCUUUUCUGUAUUUCAAGAGGCUGCAGGUCUGAUUAUUAUUACUGGGGUUUGUCAGGAUUGUGAAGUGUUUGUGGAUAUGCGCCUGCUUGUUGGACUGAAAAAAGAAGGUUGUGUUCAUCUUCCAUUAUUUCCAGCCCCAUGAUUGGGCUCACCAUGACAGGUGUGUGACUGCAAUAUCUAGAAGAACAAAGUGAGAGGAUGUUAGCAACAGGUCACCGGGCAUAGGAAACUGUGCUGUGACCCAGCGAUCAAAGUCAAGUAAAUGUUAAAUUGAAUCACAGAUGGAAAUAUUUUAUAAAGCAUGUAUGGACAGUAGCAUUAAUUAAGCACCUUGAGAAAAAUAAUGUUACAUUUAAGGUCCCAAAUUCACUGUUUGCAUACUGUAUGCUUUCAUGCAAAUCGUUUGUGUCAUUUAUAUGCAAAUAUAUAAUUGUAUACAUGUGUGAAAACCCAUAUGGACAUGGUUUGAUUGAUGUUAGUCCAGGGUCUCUAAGUGCCAUGAAGUUAACUUAUGGGUAGAAAAACAACCAUAGAUUUCCCUUCCCUGGGAUCAGCACAACUUCAUGGUCAGUGAUGCUCAUUCUUCUGACUUCUUGCUGCUAAUUUACUUAACAAUGGUCAUGUCCACAGACCCAGGAGGCUGUAUUUUCAUCCCAUUUGCACAAAUGAAGAUAAAUCAUAGCUGCUAAGAAAAGAUGAGUUAAUUCUGAAUAUGAACACCAGUAUUGGCAUUGCAUACUGAGCUAUUGUGGUAAGGCAGAUAGGAGAAAUGGUAAGUAUGGCAACUCACAAUCAUCUUUUUUAGUCAUGCUUCUAAGAUUUCUGCCACCGCGACCCUGAAAGGAAACAGCUAUCAUUUCAAAAGUUUUGGAUAAAGGUCUGGUCAUGAUGUCAGAAACGUGUGGGUGUUUGAGGGAACCAACACAAUUCAAAGGACAGACAUUAAAAUACGUUUUUAACUAUGUGGGACCUGCUUCCCCACUCCCAUAUGUUUCGUAGAUCGAUAUUAGCUCCUCUACAGUCAAUAGAGCUCAGUGAUGUAAAACUGCUGUGUGCAUGUUCUUAAUGAUUCAUAGUUUUGAAGCCUAGCCAGUUCUAUAAUUCAACCCUCGCAGAGGCAAACAACCUCCUGCCAAUCUGCCCUUUAUUCUCCCAUCCUGUUAUUUGUUAGGCAUCUGUAGCCCAUUAACUGGCUUACUAUGGUAUUAGUAUGUGGUAUAAUUAUUCAUAGUCAGAUCUGCUGAUAAGAAAUCGAAUGCUCCAGUAAACAACUGACUGCUUUUUUUCCAUGACAUCAACAACAAAGUUAAAUGGGGUACUGGAAAAAGGAUAAUUCCCAGGAUCACGAUAAAAGAUUACGUAGUUCUGUAGCAGAAGGGAAAAUCUGUUUCCAAAGCACUCAUUAGGAAUGUUCUCUGUCAUUUCCAGCAGACACACUACAGCAUGUCUUCUGCUCUCACCAGGGACAUAUAAACACAUGUGACUGAUGAGUAUGUACUGGGGCUGUCCAGCUUAAAGAAAGAGGAGUGAAAUCAGAUUUGCUAUCUGACAGACUUCUUGCUGGUGGUGGUUGGAAGGACUUUGCAAGUCUCAUAUUCAGCGCAGCAGCAAGACAUUUUAGAGGACUUCUUUCUCUUUGCUCACUGAUAUCUUCCUCAUCUCUUCCUUGUUUUCCUCCUGGCUGCCAGACUAGCAAUCUCUUGGGCUCUCAAAGGAAGCAGCAAAGGUUGCACAUGAAAGCAUCUGGGUGAGUCUUGAAUAUUUCCAGAGAAGGAGACUCCACAACCUCCCUGGACGUCCUGUUCCAGUAUUCUGUCACCCUCACAGUAAGGAA